rnacentral:lncRNA from 10 species
AUAGAGUUGAAGAAAAACAAUUAGUAGCCAAUAGCUUGUAGAUGAUAUUUAAAGGCAUGGGACAGAAUGAGCUCAUCUGAGGAAAGAAGACAGUUACAGAACAGGGCCAAGGGCCAAGCUGUGGCCUUAAGCCAAUAUCUUGAGGUCAGGAAAAGAAGAAAUUCAACGUAAGGAAUGACAGUGAGCUAGGAAAAGCAGAAAGGAUGUGACCAACUGUGUCAAAUGCUGCUGAGACGUAAAACAUGAUGAAGUCCAAGAAUUGACUGGAGGGUCUGGUAGGACAGAGGUCAUUGCUGCUGAUCUAAAUGAAAGCUGUUUUGUAGCAAUGCUGGAGAUGCAAGCUUCAGUAAAGUGAGCUGAAGGACAUAAACAUAAACAUAAGCAAGAAGAAAGAAGAAGUGUAGACAAUUGUUUCCAGGAGAUGGCCGAUACUAGGCAUGCAUGUGCAUACAGAAAAGAGAGUAACCCAAUAGUGAGGAAGAAAUUGAUGCUGCAGGAGAGAGGGAAUAAUUGCCGAAGCAAAGAUCUUGAGGUACUGAGAAAGGAUGACCCUAAUUUCCUUAAUGCUGCACCAGGAGGAUACCUCAGCCCCUGUAAUGGAAUUAAAGAAAUAUUGGAGCUGAUUCUGGUCCACCAAGAAGGGGAUGUGUUUCAGGCCUGCUUCCACUGAGGGACUGGAGGCUCCUUGAGCAAAAUUAUCUACCUCUUCACCUUUGGAUCUUUCACAGUUCCCAGUUCGGUGUACUACAGAUUGUACUUGCUAAAUAAAAAAUCAUUGUCAUGGUUUACCUAAAUGCCUGAAGUGUUAAUAAUAAAAAAAAAACCCUUUAUUCCCUCCCAUACACUUUAUAAAUCUACAGGAUUAGAGAAACAGAAUCAUCUAGACAUUUCUGGUGGUAAUGGAAAAUUGUUCAACCACUCUGGAAAAUUGUUUGGCAUUUUCCUAUAAAACUAAACAUGAAAUUACCAUAUGACCCAGAAAUUGCAC